AUGAACGCUAGCGACAGGCCUAACACAUGCAAGUCGAGGGCAGCACAAGGAGCAAUCUGAGGUGGCGACCGGCGCACGGGUGAGUAACACGUAUGCAACCUGCCUGUAAGCGGGGAAUAACCCGUUGAAAGACGGACUAAUACCGCAUAAUACUAAAUUACUGCAUGGUAAUUUAUUUAAACAUUUAUGGCUUACAGAUGGGCAUGCGCAUGAUUAGCUAGUUGGAGAGGUAACGGCUCCCCAAGGCAACGAUCAUUAGGGGUUCUGAGAGGGAGGUCCCCCACACUGGUACUGAGACACGGACCAGACUCCUACGGGAGGCAGCAGUGAGGAAUAUUGGUCAAUGGACGAGAGUCUGAACCAGCCAAGUCGCGUGCAGGAAGAAUUGUCCUAUGGAUUGUAAACUGCUUUUGCAGGGGAAUAAAGUGCAUCACGUGUGAUGUUUUGUAUGUACUCUGCGAAUAAGGAUCGGCUAACUCCGUGCCAGCCGCCGC
rnacentral:rRNA from 1 species